GCGCUCGUUUACACCGGUUUAUCGUCAGUUUUGUAUCUGGAGGCUUAUAUUGCAGAUAUAUAAUUGCGAUCGAACAUGACGAGUAUCGAGGAAAGACGGAAUUAUUUCAUCUCUGUAAUCACUAAUAACCAUAAUAAUAUGUUACGACAACAUAUUAAUACGAUGUUCUAUAAGCCUCAAUAUAUCAUCUCGACUAUCGUGGGGGUGUUGCAGCUACGUAUAUAUAAGCAUCUGGGUGGUUUGCUCGUGCGAUAUUCGGCGACUCAUUUCCGCGAUGAGAAAUUAAACAUGACGCGUGUGAGCAGCUCUGCUCUUUGAACUUUCUGCAGUACGGAUGCAAAAGUUUGCUGUCUCGCAUAUACAAAAGCAGGAGCUUUAUAACAAAUCCACCACCAUGCCUUGAUUGCUCCUUGUAGCAUCGAGAUGUUUCCAACCUUGGUUACGAUGCCACAAACCACGUGCAAACUAACUGUUUAGAUGUGAAAUUAUAUAAUCCUAAUAAACUAUUGCCACGCAUC